AGUUUUUAAGCUUCAAAGCAUAUAUUUUGAAAAUAUAAUUAAGAAAUUAACAUUUCUAUAAACUU
rnacentral:tRNA from 1 species